AAGUAUAAGCAAUUUAUACAGCGAAACUGCGAAUGGCUCAUUAUAUAAGUUAUCGUUUAUUUGAUAGUACCUUACUACUUGGAUAACCGUGGUAAUUCUAGAGCUAAUACAUGCUAAAAAUCCCGACUUCGGAAGGGAUGUAUUUAUUAGAUUAAAAACCAAUGCCCCUCGGGGCUCUCUGGUGAUUCAUGAUAACUUCUCGAAUCGCACGGCCUUGCGCCGGCGAUGGUUCAUUCAAAUUUCUUCCCUAUCAACUUUCGAUGUUUGGGUAGUGGCCAAACAUGGUUGCAACGGGUAACGGAGGGUUAGGGCUCGACCCCGGAGAAGGAGCCUGAGAAACGGCUACUACAUCCAAGGAAGGCAGCAGGCGCGCAAAUUACCCAAUCCCGAUCCGGGGAGGUAGUGACAAUAAAUACUGAUACAGGGCUUCUUUCGGGUCUUGUAAUUGGAAUGAGUACAAUUUAAAUCCCUUAACGAGGAACAAUUGGAGGGCAAGUCUGGUGCCAGCAGCCGCGGUAAUUCCAGCUCCAAUAGCGUAUAUUAAAGUUGUUGUGGUUAAAAAGCUCGUAGUUGAACCUUGGGCCUGGCUGGCCGGUCCGCCUCACCGCGUGUCACUGGUCCGGCCGGGUCUUUCCCUCUGUGGAACCACAUGCCCUUCACUGGGCGUGGCGGGGAAACAGGACUUUUACUUUGAAAAAAUUAGAGUGCUCCAGGCAGGCCUAUGCUCGAAUACAUUAGCAUGGAAUAAUGAAAUAGGACGUGCGGUUCUAUUUUGUUGGUUUCUAGGACCGCCGUAAUGAUUAAUAGGGACAGUCGGGGGCAUCAGUAUUCAAUUGUCAGAGGUGAAAUUCUUGGAUUUAUUGAAGACUAACUACUGCGAAAGCAUUUGCCAAGGAUGUUUUCAUUAAUCAGGAACGAAAGUUAGGGGAUCGAAGACGAUCAGAUACCGUCGUAGUCUUAACCAUAAACUAUGCCGACUAGGGAUCGGACGAUGUUAUUUAGUUGACUCGUUCGGCACCUUACGAGAAAUCAAAGUGCUUGGGCUCC
rnacentral:rRNA from 1 species